rnacentral:hammerhead_ribozyme from 1 species
GCAUUUCUGAAGAGUCCAACAAUAGAAUGAAACGGUCGUCCAAUGC